GAGAAGGGCUCUUCAGAGCCUGCCCUCCCAGGCUGCAGGCUGGCAUGAAGACUGUAGGUUAGAUGAACCAAUGGAUUUGCUGCACCCUAAGCACAGGAACAACAAGCAUUCUUCUAUGUAAAUGAAUCAAAAAAGGAAAGAACACAAAAAGCAAUUCAGACAUCAAAGACACAAAGCUUCAGUGAGGAUGUUGCACUGGUCACAGAUAAAAUGUAUGAACACAACUGAUAAUUUCACUGGAAAUUGCAGCUAUCCACAUUUCUUCAAAAUGUGACCUUCCUUUUACCCCAGUUCUCUGCAAUUGUUUGGAAAAUCAAUGGCAAGUUUACAAUAACCAGCAUGAAGCUUUACACACUGUGGAGAAGAAAACAUUUUGAUAAGCAAAUGGAUUUCAAUGUCAGCCUUCUAAGCAGUUGCUACAGACAAAUGAUUUGAAAGAUUAUUGAAAAUAUACUGUCUUUUUAGAAAGUUACUUUUCUUCCCAUGCAAGGCACAGGAAAUCGAAUCAGCUGCAGUACUGAAUCAACUGUACUGUCAUUGAAAUGUGUGAUCCUGUAGUAAAAUAAAAUCAGUGUCCAACUGUUCA
rnacentral:lncRNA from 1 species